ensembl:lincRNA
AUGAUGAAUGGAACCUUCCAAAUCAUCCGCCUUUAUUUCGCCGAGUUCACGAGCUACGACUGGAUUUCCUGGUUCACGCUGAAACUGAGUCCGGUCCUUUCCAGCUUGACUGCAGAGAUGCUCCAGACAGUAACAUCAUAUACCGACUGUGACGCAUACCACAUCAUCGUCGGGGCUCUGAGCAGCCACUUUGAGCAGAUGACAUCGCUGAGACAGCAGGAGCUCACCGCAGUCCUGUUGGGCUACCUAAAGCAGAGUCAGGCAUCAGGUAGGUCCAGCAUAGGCAGAGCUUGUUUGUCUUGUGGGCUAAAUAAAAUAUCAAUUCUUGGUGUCUGUGCAUCUUCGUCCGUCCUAACGAGUCUCUUUUGCACGUCCCUGUCGCAGGCUCAACCUGUGGGUCCGACACCAGCAGCCUCAGUGUUUGGCUUGAAGAGAGCUUUGGCAAAUUCUCUGUCUACGUGGACUACCAAGACCUGCGUGCACUCAACGAGGCAUUUGGAAGUGUAAGGGGCCCACCGUGCCACUUGGUUGUUCUGGUGACUGCUUUGACCAAGCACGUUGUUUCUACAGACGUUGUUGUUGUUGUUUUCUCUUCUGCAGUUCCAGGCACUGGACCUUCUGAGUGCCUCUCAAGUUGCUCAGCUGACCCUAACAUCUGGAGCGCUGAACAACGCAGAUCUGAUCACCAUGGUCUUUGAGCGUCUUGACGGCAGCAAUGCUUUCCAGGAUGUGGACCAGUUCUUGACGGUUCUCACCCAGACCUCGCAGGUACGUUCCCAUCCAUGAGAUGGCAAGCGCGCAGCUGUUCCGCUUUGUUUAGGAAAUUGUUAAAACAAGAUAGCCCGGGACAUUUUGUGUUGUACUCUGAAAUGGGAAUGUUGCCUUUCCUUUUGUUUGACCAUGAUUUUAGUACCCGACCCUGACCGUAGCCCAACAUAGCCCAAGAGUUUCUGUUGCGUACUCGGUGAUGGAAACAUUUGCUUUUCUCUUUGCUUUUCAUCACCUCUAGGUUUUGAACAUCAGCCCUGUGGUGAGAGACAUCAUGAUGAAUGGAACCUUCCAAAUCAUCCGCCUUUAUUUCGCCGAGUUCACGAGCUACGACUGGAUUUCCUGGUUCACGCUGAAACUGAGUCCAGUCCUUUCCAGCUUGACUGCAGAGAUGCUCCAGACAGUAACAUCAUAUACCGACUGCAACGCAUACCACAUCAUGUACGUAACGCUUUCCAUAUGCUAGCCAGCUCUGCAAUGUUUUCAGUUUUCUGCGUCAUGCUUAGAUUUCUUCUGCCGUGUUUUGAUCCAAUCUAGCGUCGGGGCUCUGAGCAGCCACUUUGAGCAGAUGACAUCGCUGAGACAGCAGGAGCUCACCGCAGUCCUGUUGGGCUACCUAAAGCAGAGUCAGGCAUCAGGUAGGUCCAGCAUAGGCAGCGCUUGUUUGUCUUGUGGGCUAAAUAAAAUAUCAAUUCUUGGUGUCUGUGCAUCUUCGUCCGUCCUAACGAGUCUCUUUUGCACGUCCCUGUCGCAGGCUCAACCUGUGGGUCCGACACCAGCAGCCUCAGUGUUUGGCUUGAAGAGAGCUUUGGCAAAUUCUCUGUCUACGUGGACUACCAAGACCUGCGUGCACUCAACGAGGCAUUUGGAAGUGUAAGGGGCCCACCGUGCCACUUGGUUGUUCUGGUGACUGCUUUGAGCAAGCACGUUGUUUCUACAGACGUUGUUGUUGUUGUUUUCUCUUCUGCAGUUCCAGGCACUGGACCUUCUGAGUGCCUCUCAAGUUGCUCAGCUGACCCUAACAUCUGGAGCGCUGAACAACGCAGAUCUGAUCACCAUGGUCUUUGAGCGUCUUGACGGCAGCAAUGCUUUCCAGGAUGUGGACCAGUUCUUGACGGUUCUCACCCAGACCUCGCAGGUACGUUCCCAUCCAUGAGAUGGCAAGCGCGCAGCUGUUCCGCUUUGUU